AUUUUAACUACAUAGAAAUCAAAUUUCACGCACUUUCGAUAUUGUUCUUUUAUCCAUCUAGUGAACAAAAAAUGAAUGGCUGAAAAUGAAUAUUCUUUAAAAAAUGAUGAUAGGAGUCUUGUAAUCAAGAUCAAGAGUAUAGAUCUUGUUUUAAAUAGUUUAAAAAAUUUUCUAACAAAAAUUCAAUUGAUUUGGAUAUCUUUACACCGUUAAACGAGAAAACGUCUUUUAUCCACCAUUAAAAUUACAAAUUUUGAAACCCUUUGAUCAUUAGGCAAAUGAUGUCGAAAAGAUUUGAAAUUUGAUUUCUAAACACUUCAAGUGGUAUAGAUCAUGUUCAACAGAGCCGAUCGUCAAUUUGGAAGCUCUAUCAUCAGAAACAACUCGAUAGUAAAACGCCCCGUUUACUAUCGAGAGUAUUCUAGCUCAACUCUCUCUCUCUCUCUCUCUCUCUCUCUCUCUCUCUCUCUCUCUAUAUAUAUAUAUAUAUAUAUAUUGGCCAAUUUGCAUUAAAAAUCCACUAGUUUUGCGCUUUUGCAAAAGUGGACCACAUAUUUUGAUUUUACAUAUCCGGGCCGAAUUUUUUGUAAACUGACCAAAAUACCCUUAUACCUUGUUCUCUCUCCUCUUUUUUUUUCUCUCGUUCUUUUUUUUUCUCGCCGAAGAAGGCGAUAGAGGCGAAGAUGGAAACGGCCCCCAUCGUCUUUGCACCUCAUGCCCUCACUCACCCGCGCACCCCUCGCCCUACUCGCCUCCGACCCCGCCAAAGCCGCGCUGCAACCCGUUUUUUUUUUUUAGUCUCCAACCCUCCUCCACCGCCUCCGCGGCCUUCUAUGACAAUAACGAGGACGGUAAUGCAUCAUCUUCCUCCCCUUUCGCCCUCCACUUUCCCU
rnacentral:lncRNA from 1 species